rnacentral:misc_RNA from 1 species
GAUAUAACAUAACCUGAACAUUCUUAAAAUGUUCUGAAAAAUGUCAACAACGAUGUAUUACGAGAAGUUUUUCCAUUUUUUGUGCAUUUUAGCUGCAACAAAUGCGUCUAUUUAUGAAAAUUUGAAAUACUUUGAAAUAAUGCACGCAGACGAACUUCACCACCACAUUGUUAAAAGGGGAGCUCAAGAAAGCGUUCAUCCACUAAACAAAAUAAAGGAGGUUAGAUUUAAAACACUUGGGAGGGAUUUUCGGCUAAUCCUAUCACCAAAAAAGGACAUGUUGCAUUCUAAGUUCAAAGCUUACGCUGUUGAUGCUGAUGGAAAAGAAACAAGCGUUCAUAUAGCUCGUGACAAUUUUUACGCUGGUCGUGUUUUUGAUGAAAUAAACUCAUAUGCAAGCAUUCAUAUUGAAGAUGAUGGAGUUAUGACUGGUAUGGUGAAAGUAAAAGAUGAAACUUAUCAUAUCGAGCCUUCUUGGCGUCAUUUACCAAAGUUGGACAAUAGAACAAUGAUAACGUACAAAGCAUCUGAUGUAAAGUUUAGCUGGGACCACAGUACUCUUGGCCCUGACCAAGUCGGCCCCAAAAUAUGUGGAUAUGUUAAGGAAGGGUCAGAGUUAGAAGAUAAAGAUGAUUAUGAAAGUCAUCGGACUGAUACUGUAAAUAGAGAGAAAAGACAGGCAGAACAAUAUGAAUAUUCAAUUACCAAGACUAGAUGUCCACUUCUCCUUGUUGCAGAUUACAGAUUCUACCAAGAAAUGGGAGCAAGUAAUAUAAAAACGACCAUUAAUUACCUGAUCAAUUUAAUAGACAGGGUUCACAAAAUAUACAAUGAUACCACCUGGCAAGAUAGACAAGACCUGGAUGGAUUUAAAGGAAUGGGUUUUGUGAUUAAGAAAAUCCUUGUUCAUAAUGAUCCUACAAGAGUAAGGGGUGGUGAAGCUCAUUACAAUAUGAACAGAGACAAGUGGGAUGUUCGCAAUUUGCUAGAGAAUACUUUAAAAACGGUUACACUCUUUAUUUAAAUUCGGGAUUGAGUUCAAGCAGAAAUCAUUAUGGACAGAGGGUGAUAACCAGAGAGGCAGAUCUCGUCACUGCGCACGAAUUUGGGCACAAUUGGGGCUCCGAACACGAUCCAGACAUACCCGAAUGUUCUCCCAGUGCCAGCCAAGGGGGCUCCUACUUAAUGUACACUUAUAGUGUCAGCGGAUACGACGUGAAUAACAAGCGUUUUUCCCCGUGCAGCUUACGAUCUAUACGCAAAGUUCUCCUGGCCAAAUCAGGAAAAUGCUUCUCGGAACCCGAGGAAAGUUUCUGCGGCAACCUAAGGGUCGAAGGGGAUGAGGAAUGCGA